UACGGGGGGAGCAAGCGUUGUUCGGAUUUACUGGGCGUAAAGGGCGCGUAGGCGGCCAGCACAAGUCAGUUGUGAAAUCUCCGGGCUUAACUCGGAAAGGUCAACUGAUACUGUGCGGCUAGAGUGCAGAAGGGGCAACUGGAAUUCUCGGUGUAGCGGUGAAAUGCGUAGUUAUCGAGAGGAACACCUGCGGCGAAGGCGGGUUGCUGGGCUGACACUGACGCUGAUGCGCGAAAGCCAGGGGAGCGAACGGG
rnacentral:rRNA from 1 species